AUUUCGGGUAGCUGCCACAGGGGCAAAAUCGUCCGAACAGGGCACUCCAGAAAUGAUCUGCCGCAGGGGCAAAAUCGUCCGAACAGGUCACCUCCAGAAAUGAUCUAGCGAAUUCUAUCGUUAAAAAGAGGAGUAGAAAAGCCUCCCAAAUUUCCCUCAAAAUUAUAGAAAAGGAAAAAGGCUCCAAAUUCCAAACCCUAAUUCUUCUCUCUUCAUCGCCGAUCCAAGAAAUGUCGCACUUCGGAAGAUCUGGACCGCCGGACAUCAGAGACACCUUCUCUCUCCUCGUCCUCAACAUUACUUUCCGUACUACAGCUGAUGACUUGUUCCCCCUAUUUGAUAAGUAUGGCAAGGUGGUCGAUGUGUUCAUUCCUCGAGACAGGAGAACUGGAGACUCCAGGGGUUUUGCAUUUGUGCGAUAUAAGUAUCAAGAUGAGGCUCAAAAGGCAGUUGAAAAGCUCGAUGGAAGAGUUGUUGAUGGGCGAGAAAUAAUGGUUCAAUUUGCUAAAUAUGGGCCCAAUGCAGAACGAAUUGAUAAAGGUAGAAUUGAGGAACCUGUUUACAAGUCUAGAGGCAAGUCAAGAAGCCGCAGUCCUCGCCCAAGGGGUGAUGACAGGGAUCGGGAUUACAGGAGGAGCAGCCAGAGUAGAAGCAGGGGAAGAAGUGAGCGUGAAUCUCAUCGUGGCAGGCACAGGGAUUCUUCCUAUCGAAGCAGAAGCCGGUCCCGGAGCCGAAGCCGUAGUGCAAGUCCUGGCUAUCGCAGAGAACGUGGUAGAGGAAAAUAUGAUGAUGGUGAGAGACGUAGACGGAGUCGGUCUUAUGAAAGUGCAUCUCCUGUUCGACGAAGUCUCAGUCCUCAGAGGUCUCCUUCCCCCAAAAAAUCACCUCUGUCCAGGGAUGGAAGUCCUGAUGUGCGCAAUCACAAAGAACGAUCUGCCACCCCCCCAAAGAGUGUUUCUCCCCGUGGCCGUCGUGAUUCUCGGAGCCCAUCUCCACAUGAUGAGGUUGAUGACUAAUGGAUUGGCAGCUUGUGCUUUCUUGAGUAAUUUGACCUAUCACCAUAUGGUGGUUGCGAUCAAUGCUUUUCCUAAAGAUCUGUCAUCAGUUUGAAUACCUAUGCAUUGUACUAGACUUGUUUUAUCGUUUUAUGUUAGAUUCUGCACCAGACAUAAAUGGUUUGUUUGUGAACGUGAGGUAGUUGCUGAUUGGCAAGAUGAUGCAGCAGCUAUUGAUGCUGCUUUUAGAUGAUGCCGUAGGUGUCGAUGCUGCUUUUACAUUGCUGUUGAUUGUUAUGAUUUCUUGCUGGUGAUGAUGAUCUAAGCACAUGAGAUUGUGGCUGUAGCUGUGAGGUACCUGUUGUAGAUCGAUUGUCGGUGAUAGCUAUAGAAGCUGAUGCUGCUUUUUGAUGAAUGGUUUUAGUAGCUGUGUUGCAGUUGGAUGCAUGGACCUGCUUUAUUGUGAAAUUUUGCUACUUGGAAUGGCAUCUAAUCGUUAUUUGUUACUCACCUCUUUCUUGUUUGGAUUGUACAGAAAAUUAGUUUUAUCCCUUUUUCUUCCAGCAAAUUAGACUUGAAUGAAUACAGUUUUGGUUUCUUUUAUUUGAUUAAUAAUCGGAUAAAUCAAGUUACAGGCUUUUGUGGUUA